ensembl:lncRNA LOC120098897 uncharacterized LOC120098897
GGAUCAGGAGACCCAGGGACACUGUCUCCCCUCUGAGACAGGGGCAUCACCCAGCUGAGGGUUUCUUCUUGCCCAGGACUGAGCCCCAGGACGAGGGAAGAGGGAGGAGAAGCCCGCGGCGCCCGCACCUGAGCGCAGCAGCGUCUCCUUCCUGGGUGCCAGGUAACUGCGGAGCCACUCCACACACUCGCCCUCCAGGUAGGCCCUGCGUCUCUCUGCCUCACCAUCCCGUUCCCACUUGUUUUUGGUGAUCUGCGCCGCUGUGUCCGCCGCCGUCCACGUUUUCAGGUCUUCGUUCAGGGCGAUGUAAUCGCGGCCAUCGUAGGCGUGCUGAUUAUACCCGCGGAGGAGGCUCCCGUCCGACCCCACGUCACAGCCAGACAAUCUCUGGACGGUGUGAGAGCCUGCGGGACCCCGCGGUCAGACCCGGCCCCGCCCCGGCCCCGGCCGGGCCAGAAGCCGACGCCUUCAAACCGAAAGGGAAACCGGCCCGCGUCGAUUCUGCUCCCCAAUUUCGGACUUGGGACCCGGAAGUCUCUGGCCGUGUGGACCCGGAGGGGUCGUGACCUCCGACCCGGGGUCACUCACCGCCCUCGCUCUGGUUGUAGUAGCGGAGCAGGGUCCUCAGGUUGUCUCGGAAAAUCUGCUCCUUUUCCUUGACUUUCCGUGUCUGCCGCUCCCAAUACUCCGGCCCCUCCCGCUCCAUCCACCGCGCCCGAGGCUUCAUCCUCGGAUUCUCCGCGUCGCUGUCGAAGCGCAUGACCUCCCUGUCGUCCACGUAGCCGACGAUAAUGAACCGGGGCUCCCCGAGGCCGGGCCGGGACACAGCGAUGUCGAAAUACCGCAGCGAGUGGAUCGCGGCAGCCCUUGGAAGUGAGAAUUGCCAGCGCGUCAUCAGUAUCCGGGCAGAAGGACCUGACACAGAAGUCAGACCCUGGAGUCUUCUAGAAGAAAAGCCACUUCCGGGAAUACAAUCACAACACAAGGGGUUGUGGGUGCGGUGGAGAGACGCUUCUCCUUUAAGAGGAGGCGCUGGCCUGCAAGCCCCACCCAGACCCCACAGAGACCAGGCUCUGUUCACCUGCAUGGGCAGCUCACACUGCCAAGCCUGAGUGCAGGACUCUCAUCUGUAAAGAGGAGACUUUGCCUCUUCCCUCAGGAUCUGUCUUCUCAACCUCGGGUUUAGACCCAGACUCCUUGUGUUUAUUCCCAGAAGAUGCAUCUGUGGCUCCAGGUACCAGCAUUGCCUUGGGUGACUCUGGAGAACCAAGCCUUCUUGCCCAGGUUCCUGUGGCAGUGACAACCAGCUGCUGACUGGAAGAUCCCAUAUCUGCACUGAGUGAUUGGGUGUCACUGUAUUAGUUACUGUGGUCCUUUGGAUAAAAUGACCCCCAUAUGCUUGCUCAUUUGAAUACUUGGUUCCCAGUUGGUGCUGUUUGGGCAAGCUUAGGAGGAGGGGCCUUGCUGGAGGAAGGAUGUCACUCGGAGCAUGGUUGGAGAUGUGAGCUCUCAGACAGUCCUGCUGCCACGCCUGGCAUUUGCUGACACGAUGAUGAUGGACUCUUAACUCUCCGAACCCUAUGCUCCAAAUAAACCUUCUUUUAAACCUUUCAGGAAAUGCGUUCUAGAUGUGCCCAGAGCCGUUUUCGCAAAGACUCUAAAUUCCAUCCAGCUAGCGAUGAAGAUUACCCAUCACACUGCUGUGGCACCUCCACAUGUGGUCAUUCAUCAUCUAACAUCUGGAUACGUUCCAGAAACUGUGAUGUGAACAUACAGUGUGCUUCUGUGAACCUACAUGAUAUGGCCUGUGUUGCACAUGUGGUUAUGUGGUGCAUAGAAUCUGGACAUCGUGUGUGCAGUAUGUCCAUCAGGAG